AGCGUUCGGGAGCGUCUUGUUCUUCCUGGGGAGAAGUCGGGGGAGCAAAGUGGGCCCGAUGGAGAUUGAGGGACGUGUCGCACGGCUCGACAGCCGGCACGGCAUCGCGGCGGCCAUUGGUGGUUCCGGGUCACGGCGUAGGACGAGGUCUUCAGUGACGGGUCUCGAACCACUAAGUGACCUCGUUCCUUUGCUGUUUGACGUGUGUGUGUGUGUGUGUGUGUGAGUGUGAGUGAGUGUGUGUGUGUGUGUGAGUGAGAGAGGGAGAGAGAGGGAGAGAGACAGAGAGAGAGACAGAGAGAGAGACAGAGAGAGACAGACAGACACAGGCAGGCAGACAGGCAGACAGACAGACGCUUGGAUAGAGGCACAGCCGGCCCGCUCAUCACUUUUCCCCAGGGCACCAGCCCCAAGGGCAUGUAUCAGACAGCCCUGGAGGAGACGGUCCAGAGGGAGAAGAGGCUGGAGGCUGCCCCAGAAGGAUGCUUUGGAGGGGUUGGGGGUGUUCAUUGUAGAGGGCCCACGUGGGGGGACGGAUUGACCUCGUCCAGUUUUGGCCUCGGAGGGCAGGAACAAAAGAAAUGGGGAGGCCAGAGGUGGGGGAGGGAAUGGCAAAGAAGCAGCGCUGGGCUGACGGCCCCCAAAGCGGCCCCCGCCGAGGACUGGCCUGUCCAGGAGGCCGGGAGACUCCUGCUCUAGAGGCUUCAGGAGGAGCUGCAUGUCCUGUGUUAAGGAUGCUGUAGGGAGCCUCCGCUUUGGCUCUGGGUCAGUCUAGACGGCCAGCUCUGCACCUCUGCAGCCCUCGUCCUCCAAGAGGCAGUCAGGAACGUGUCUCUGAAAGCCUGGCCCCGGGGGCUGCCCAGCCCAUUUCUCUGCCUGCCACUGGUGAUGGUCAUCGAUCCAUGAGGGCUUCCUGGGCCUGAGGAGGAGGAGGAGGGAUCACAUCAAUGGACUGUUUCACUAGCAAGAGCCUUGGGGACAGUGACUGGAUUUUUUCUUGGCAUUGUAUCCUCAGGGCUUAGCCCAGUGCCUGGCACAUGGUAGCUGCUUAAAAAAAUUGUUGACUGACUGAGUAUUAUUCAGGUCUUUCUGAGCAGGGUGGCCCAGCCUCCCUCAAAUUAGCUUUAAAUGGGACGGCCACUAGAUGGCUCUAUGAAUAAAAAGCCAGGCCUAGAGUUUGAGGGACCUGGG
rnacentral:lncRNA from 1 species